GCCCACGUCGUCUAGCGGCCAGGACGUCGGCUUUUCAACCCGACGGUGCGGGUUCGACUCCCGCCGUGGGCA
rnacentral:tRNA from 1 species